CAGGAGGCUGCCAGCUGGCUGACCAUUGCUCUCGUUUCAAAUGAGCAGCCAGCAUGUUGCAGUAAAGUCCAAAAGAUCAAACUUCUCUGCUUUUUCCUUUCUGUAAUUCUCACCGGAGGAAGUGAGAGCUUUCUUUCUCUUGGCUAUGUUACAUAUUUCCAGCAAGAUGAAUUUUCUCUUCACCUUGUUAUUAUCUCAUGAAAGUAGCCCACACAGAGUGUGAGAACCCAUCAGUAUGAAGCCACCAUGCACCAAAGCUGUUCCCCGUGGCUUGGUCAUCUCUCCCACCAGGAGCAGGCCAUGUGCAGCAAGGCGUGCCCUGCCCAACAGCAGCAACAUGGAUCUUAACUCCUGCACACAGUGGGCCCACCAGGACCCAGCAUUGCUGGCUGUCCUCAGAGUUUGACAAGGUCUAUGGCCUGGAUGUUGAUUACAACUCUUCAGUGCUUGCAGGUGCUUCAUAAACAUUUGCAAGGAAGAAAUAAAAAUAAAGGUGUAGCUCCAACUCACAUCCUUGUGGACAUUACCUCUAACACUGAAAGACUUCAGGUGUAUAAUCGUGAGGUCUGUUACACGUUCCAUGGCUCAACCACUUCUGCUCUGCAAGAUCUUCCAAGGAUCUUGUGUGCCAGGGUAAGGAGGUGCUGACCAUGGUUGGUGACAGGACACUGCAUCCACAGCACCAGGGCCAGGGGAAGGAAAGCCCCCUGAAGGAACUGGGAUGACAGCAAAGCUGCAGGUGCACAGCCCUACCUGGAACCUUCACCUCUUGGCCCAGCAGGGCAGAAAGAGUUGGUUUGCUCUUUGUUAGUUUGAAAGAAGACUUAGCUAAUGGAACUGAGUGGAUCUUCAGCAAACCAAAUAGAAAAAUUAAUCUUCAUCAUUUUAUUAUCAUUUUCCUAGAAAAAGAUCAAGAGAAUUCAAUGUCAGGUUCUGGACAGAGCAUUAUUCCUGCAGGAAAACAGGUGCUGAUCUACAAAACUAGACCCUGAAGAUUAGGGCAGAUCUUCAUAAAGUAGGCUGGGACUUCUUUUAAAGAACUCUUCUAAUAGCAAUUUGGACAAUUAGCUCAUCUCUGAUAUUUCUAGAUCUCUAGAGAAUCCUUGUAAAAGAAGAAAAACACUCAGGCCAAUCAUUGGCCCUACAAAAGGAGCCAAAUCAGCAACAUUGUGAAGGCGACUAAUGAGACAGCUAUUAUUGUUAUUGAUUUUUUGUGGAACAUUGUCAGAUUGUGUUGCCAAGCCUGAUAAAAAGGAUAUAAGAUUGAGUUUUAUGUCUUCUGCCAAAUGUUCAUGUACCUUGUCAGUCAUUUAUACGGGUGGAAAGAUGAUAAGUGAUCUUUUGGGAACCUGUCCAUGAGCAAUUUAUGAAUUCCAAUUAAAAACUUCUAUUAUAAACUCUCAGUAUGCAAUAGCAACUGCAUAUUAAAUUGCAAA
rnacentral:lncRNA from 1 species